rnacentral:tRNA from 1 species
GCGCCAGUAGCUCAGCUGGAUAGAGUACCUGGCUACGAACCAGGUGGUCGGAGGUUCGAAUCCUUCCUGGCGCG